rnacentral:rRNA from 1 species
CCUACGGGUGGCAGCAGUGGGGAAUAUUGCACAAUGGGGGAAACCCUGAUGCAGCGACGCCGCGUGAGUGAAGAAGUAUCUCGGUAUGUAAAGCCCUAUCAGUAGGGAAGCAAAUGACGGUACCUGAUUAAGAAGCCCCGGCUAACUACGUGCCAGCAGCCGCGGUAAUACGUAGGGGGCCAGCGUUAUCCGGAUUUACUGGGUGUAAAGGGAGCGUAGACGGCAGCACAAGUCUGGAGUGAAAUGCCGGGGCUUAAACCCGGAACUGCUUUGGAAACUGUGCAGCUAGAGUGCAGGAGAGGUAAGUGGAAUUCCUAGUGUAGCGGUGAAAUGCGUAGAUAUUGGGCGGAACACCAGUGGCGAAGGCGGCUGACUGGACUGUAACUGACGUUGAGGCUCGAAAGCGUGGGGAGCGAACAGGAUUAGAUACCCCAGUAGUC